AAAGGCAGGCGUAGUAUCUUUUCACUGAAGGAACUCAUAUUCUUUUUUUUUUGUCAAUUGCUUAAUUAUGUUCUCUUUUUUCAAUUGAUCUCCAACCAUUAGUGCUAUUCGUAUUCUCGGUACUUUUUAUUUUGCAACAAUGUUCUUAUCACCUCAACAAUUCUGUACUUUGUCCCGUGGUCUAUCUUUCUUGCUAUAUUGGCCAGGAUUACCUAGGGUUUCCUUAUCGUUCUUGUACUAGGGCUUAUCCCCCGUUGCCACUAUUCGUGGUUUGGCUGAGACACUCCUCUGUAAUCGUUGAAUUCCUCUUCUUUUGUCUAACAAAACAGAGUGUUGAGUGAGUGUUAUCUGAAUUUUGUCUCCAGAUAGUGUGUGUUUCCAGUCAAGGUGUGGAGGAGGAGAAAGCGUCCAAGGAAGCUUGGUAAUAAGAUUGGUAGGAUUUAUCAUGUUCAUCCUGGGAGUGGAUUUGUUCAUCCGCUGUCUUAUAUUGUUCAUACUAGAAUACAGAAAAAACUCGAGUUGCAUCUUCAAAAAUAUAUUGGAUCUACAUAGCCUGCUACUGUAUUUGUGAUUUACAUUUUCCGUUCACAAAUUAUGGUGCCUAUGGGCAAGAAGAGGGAAGCACCAAGCAUGUAGCUCCCACUGAACUAGAGGCAUUGCCACCUAAGGCCAAGGAAGAUUAAGAGAUGCACAUCAACGUGCAAUCAAAGAUUAAAUCGAGUCAGAGGAAAAAAAUGGAGGAGGGUUAAUGCUCAAGGACCUCGACUGCUCAGACCUGGAUGACACCACUGACGAAGAACCAGAGCCUUUGGGAGAAGAAACCACUGACCCUAGGUAGAAGAUGCAGAACAUACAUCAGCCAUGAAGUCAGCCUGCCAUUGUGCAAGAGGGACUGGCAUCCGCGACGAUGUUGGUGCCCUGGAUGAUCUGGAAACAGUGCAAUGCCCGUGUCUUCGAAGGAGAGGUGCCCUCCAUCCGUGACCAGUGUGCCAAGAUCAAAGAAGAAGCAAGAUCAUGGGCCACGGCAGGAGCGAAGGGGCUCAAAUAUGUUUUGCCUACAACCUGGGAUGUUCAUUGAUUUCAGUUUCUGUAACAUUCCUUCGGUGUAAACCUCUUAGGAGGCGUGUAACAACUCUAUCUUUUCAAUGAAAUGAAAUGUAAAGAUUUCUUUGCGUUUUCUCAAAAAAAAAAUGUGCAAGAGGGAGGAAUAAUCAGAGCACUGCCUGGGCAUAGUGAUCUGCUAUGUUGUUAAUGUUUAGUUUGUUGCA